rnacentral:rRNA from 1 species
GAUCCUGGCUUAGGAUGAACGCUGGCGGCGUGCUUAACACAUGCAAGUCGAACGAAGCACUUUAUUUGAUUUCCUUCGGGACUGAUUAUUUUGUGACUGAGUGGCGGACGGGUGAGUAACGCGUGGGUAACCUGCCUUGUACAGGGGGAUAACAGUUGGAAACGGCUGCUAAUACCGCAUAAGCGCACGGCAUCGCAUGAUGCAGUGUGAAAAACUCCGGUGGUAUAAGAUGGACCCCGCGUUGG